GCUACUGAAGGAUAACAGUCAUCCGUUGGUCUUAGGUACCAAAAACUCUUGGUGCAAAUCCAAGCAUUAGCU
rnacentral:tRNA from 2 species